rnacentral:snRNA from 1 species
UGAUGUGAGGGCGAUCUGGCUGCGACAUGUCACCCCAUUGAUCGCCAGGGUUGAUUUGGCUGAUCUGUCUGGCUAGGCGGGUGUCCCCUUGCUCCCUCACCGCUCCAUGUGCGUACCUCCUGAAGCUGUGCAGUUGGUCGAAGAGGACGACCUUCCUCACUAGAGGAGGACUGUUCUUUGGUCAAGGGUAUACGAGUUGCUGCGCUCCCCUGCUAGAACCUCCAAACAAGCUCUCAAGAAACAUAUCAGGGGGUGGUGCUGUGGCCUAGGGGGUAAAGCUGCUGCCUGCAUUGUCAGCAUCCCAUAUAGGAGCUGGUUCGU